GACCCAAUGGUCGUAAAGGUGGAUUAAAUUGUAUCGCCUACUAUAGCAGGACGGCUCUCCUCUCACGGCGGCAGCCGGGGUUCGAAUCCCCGUGGGGACGCCA
rnacentral:tRNA from 1 species